CAGUAUAUUCGUAUAGUUAUAUUAAGCAACACAGUUUCAAUUUAUUGGAUUCUAAACAAUCAAGCAACAAAAAUCACAAUUCAAGAACAGAAAUAAAGCUUAAAUCUGCAGAAAUUACAAGCAAAGGCUCAUGGGCCGAAUCUUACCAAAAUAACUCCAUGUGGAACUAAGCAAGUCUAGAAUAAAUUGUCCAGAUUAAUAAUACAAGGAAUGGAAUAUAUAUGGCCACCACGCCCAUGUACAAAAGAAAUAUGCACAUUUAUUUGAAAGAAAGUGAUUAAAGCGAGACAAGGUUGCAGAGAAAAGAAUGCAAAUAAUUAAAGAGAAACACUUGGGACAUGGAACAACAAGACUGUAGCUCGAAGGGGGGAGAAAAGUACCCUGCAACCAAGAGAAAGACGAUACAAGCUUUAGAAUGGGUCGAGCUUUAUUAAAACCUUAUCGAGCUUUAUUAAAGAAUUGCAAAUUGAGAAUUAGAUUGGUGCAAGCAUUACCCGGGUGGAGACUAGACUAGUCAUUAGUGAAGGAUGAUAAAGACAAACUUUUCGCUGUAAAGACAAACUUUUCAAGCAAGGAAGCUUACCCAGUAUCCCCAUUGGAUCAUCCUCAAUCUCACAUUUCGACAUAAACAAUUUCUUAAGUUUUGAGCUGAUGAACUCAAGCUCACACUCUGCUAGCGCCUUCCCUAACUUAACAUAAAUCGACAAUUCACGAAGAUUGGGACAUGUGAAUGCCUUGUUCAAUCGUAAAAAUAGGACAUUUCUCGGCCGAUAAUUGGCAUGAAAAAUGUCCUGCGGAUGCAACACUUAUUAAUUAGUGUCUUAUUUUACUCUUAAAAAAAUUAGUGUCCUAUUUUUAGAAGUCCGAAAGUUAUUGUCCUAAUUUCCAAAUCAAUCUAGGUUACUGUCCUAAAAAACCCUCGAACUCAAAUAAAAGUUCUCAUUAGUGACAUGAGGAUUAAUAACUAUUAUGCGUGUUACAAAAAUUAAUAACAGGAUUACAUGUCACUAAUUUUUAUGACACGAAUAUUAGCUACCAAGUAGAUACUUUUAGUAUAGUGUAUAUGAAAUAGACAAAUGUUUUUAUGCAGAUUACUAACAUGGCCAAUCGCCGAACAACCGACCUGCCUGUUUUG